UACGAAGGGGGCUAGCGUUGUUCGGAAUUACUGGGCGUAAAGCGAGUGUAGGUGGUUGUCACAGUCAGGUGUGAAAGCCUUGAGCUCAACUCAAGAAAUGCACUUGAUACUAGGCGACUAGAGGACCGGAGAGGAUAGUGGAAUUCCCAGUGUAGUGGUGAAAUACGUAGAGAUUGGGAAGAACACCAGUGGCGAAGGCGACUCACUGGACACGUAUUGACGCUGAGGUGCGAAAGCGUGGGGAGCAAACAGG
rnacentral:rRNA from 1 species